rnacentral:rRNA from 1 species
AGUCGAGCGAGCGGAACUAAAGAUUUACUUCGGUAAUGACGUUAGGAAAGCGAGCGGCGGAUGGGUGAGUAACACGUGGGGAACCUGCCCCAUAGUCUGGGAUACCACUUGGAAACAGGUGCUAAUACCGGAUAAGAAAGCAGAUCGCAUGAUCAGCUUUUAAAAGGCGGCGUAAGCUGUCGCUAUGGGAUGGCCCCGCGGUGCAUUAGCUAGUUGGUAAGGUAAAGGCUUACCAAGGCGAUGAUGCAUAGCCGAGUUGAGAGACUGAUCGGCCACAUUGGGACUGAGACACGGCCCAAACUCCUACGGGAGGCAGCAGUAGGGAAUCUUCCACAAUGGACGCAAGUCUGAUGGAGCAACGCCGCGUGAGUGAAGAAGGUUUUCGGAUCGUAAAGCUCUGUUGUUGGUGAAGAAGGAUAGAGGUAGUAACUGGCCUUUAUUUGACGGUAAUCAACCAGAAAGUCACGGCUAACUACGUGCCAGCAGCCGCGGUAAUACGUAGGUGGCAAGCGUUGUCCGGAUUUAUUGGGCGUAAAGCGAGCGCAGGCGGAAGAAUAAGUCUGAUGUGAAAGCCCUCGGCUUAACCGAGGAACUGCAUCGGAAACUGUUUUUCUUGAGUGCAGAAGAGGAGAGUGGAACUCCAUGUGUAGCGGUGGAAUGCGUAGAUAUAUGGAAGAACACCAGUGGCGAAGGCGGCUCUCUGGUCUGCAACUGACGCUGAGGCUCGAAAGCAUGGGUAGUGAACAGGAUUAGAUACCCUGGUAGUCCAUGCCGUANACGAUGAGUGCUAAGUGUUGGGAGGUUUCCGCCUCUCAGUGCUGCAGCUAACGCAUUAAG